rnacentral:lncRNA from 1 species
UUUUGAAGUCAUGCCCACGAUUACAGCUUUGUCAAUUAUUCUCAUUUAUUUCUAUUUGUUUUGCUCUAUGUAGUUCCCAGUUAUGUUUUUAGGGGUAAUAAAGUUCAUGGCUGUUGGAUCAUCUUGGAGAAUUCUCCCUUUUUAUGAGAUAUUCUUUAAAAUUAGUUUUGUCUUUAUUUCAGUUUUGUUAAAUAUACAGUUAUUCCUAUUUUUGUUUUUAUAGCAUUUGCAGUCUUUUCCCAUAACUCCAACUUUCUUGCUUUAAAUAUUUUCAACUUCAUGUAGCUAGGAUUUAAACUUUCCUUUUACCUCAUCCUUAGUCAUCAGGACAGAAGGAAAGAAACUUCCCCCAAGUCUCUAGACCAAGAACGAGGUGCCUGCUUUAAAUUGAGUGAGUGAGCUAUGACUUGGGCCAAAUCCAGUGUACCUUCUAUCCACACUGCCUAUUUUUGUCACAGCCUAUAACAGGUUUCUGUGCUAUAAAUGGGUAGUAAAAUGCAUGACAUAGCUUCAAAUAAGAACAGGUUUCUGUUUAAGCAGUAUGUAAAUAACACAAUGUCUUUGACGUUGACUUUUGCUACAAAGCCUAAAAUAUUUACCUUUUGGCCCUUUAAGGAAAAGGUGUCCAUUCAAUGACUACCUCUGUGUCAGAUUUCUCUUAAGGGGUUAAUCUGUCAAACCAUCAGGGCAGAAUACCAAAAUACAAAUUGACAAUGAGCUAUACUCACUCUUGAUUUUAUUUGUAAUUCUACUCGCUCCCUCCCUCCCUCUACAAACACAUUCUUAUCCUCAUCCUGAAAAACUGAAUUUCCUGCUGGGUGGUGGUGGCUCACACCUUUAAUCCCAUUACUUGGGAGACAGAGGAAGGCAGAUCUCUGUGAGUUCAAGGCCAACCUGGUCUACAGAAUGAGUUCUCUGACAGCUAAGGCUACUCAGAGAAAUCUAUUGUCUCAAGAUAAGAAAACAAACAAACAAAAAACUGAAAUUUCCCAGCUUGUUGUGGUGGCACAGGGUCGUAAUCUUAGCAGUCAGGAGACUAAGACAGGAAUAUUAUAAAUUUGAAUCCAACUGACCUCAACCCCAUUUCACAAAACUUUCUAAAUUCCUGUGAGCCACUGCUGUGCAGGUCUGGAAAUGGACUGUGGCUGCCUUAUCUCCAGUAGCCCCUCAUCCAUCCUUAUAUCCUCUCUCUCAAUCCCUGUUUGUCGGCUUUCACUUUUGUGGCUGAGUUUCAAUGCCUAAGUCCUCCUUGUUACCCUGAAUUGGUACUCUGCUCUAUCUAUCCCAACUGUGAUUUCAGAUGGCCUUCCUGGAAGCCUUGCUCUGCCGGAGGCCUCUUCUCCUUGACUGGCUUCUUCUCCCUUCAGUGACCACUUCCAUCCUGAUGCUGCCCAUGUAUCCCACUUUUCUUUCCAACUGGCUGCACUAUCCUCUAGAGCAGUGAGGAUAUCCCUUCCCCCUUCUCCCUGCUCACCAGCCCACCCACUCCUGCUUCCUGGCCCUGGAAUCCCACCAGCAGUAGAGGGGUGUUUCUCUUCCACCUCCUUGCCAACAUCUGCUGUCACCUGAGUUUUUGAUCUUAGCCAUUCUGACUGGUGUGAGGUGGAAUCUCAGAGUUGUUUUGAUUCGCAUUUCCCUGAUAACUAAGGAUGUUAAACAUUAUUUUAGGUUCUUCUCAGCCAUUUGGUAUUCCUCAGUUGAGAAUUCUUUGUUUAGCUCUGUACCCCAUUUUUUAAUAGGGUUAUUUGGUUUUCUGGAGUCCAACUUCUUGAGCUCUUUGUAUAUAUUGGAUAUUAGCCCUCUAUCAGAUUUAGAUCUUUGGAAAAGAUCUUUCCCCAGUCUGUUGGUUGCCGUUUUGUCUUGACAGUGCCCUUUGCCUUACAGAAGCUUAGUCAUUCUGCAGAGAGCCCAGCAGGCUUUGGAAAUUUGAGUUGAAGUGCCAGAGAAUUGAGGCAGAAAACCUCACAUGAAGCCUUUAGUAAGGGUGGGAUGAUCUAGAAUGCUUUUCAAAAGGCUCAUUUCUAGAGCCAAGAGUCCUCUGGUUGGGCCUCAGGCCUGGCAAUCUGUCUCUUUAGAAGCCUCCCUAAGAACUUCAUCAAACUAGGGCUGGAAAAGGGUUCUCAAAACAACUCUUAUCCCAAAGACCCCUUUUUCUGUUUCUAUCCCAGUGUCACCCACGAAAACUUGCUCAGUAAAGCCUAGGGCUCCCUGCCAUCCUGCCUGCCUGAGGAAGAGAAAGGGAACUUUCUCUACAUGUUCUCAGAGUUCAUCACUGAUGCCCAUUUCCAUCCCAAAGACCUUCUGGGAAGACAUAUACCUACUGCUUUCCUAGGUCCGUGCAACCAACGCUGUCAGGGGCCAUCUACUCACCUUACUUCCACCCCCAUAAGUGAGGCUCCAUGGCGCUUCCUUUGCCUUCUUACCAAGAGAGCCUGUGAGGAGGAGGAUGCUAGGAUGUGACAUCAGACAGAAUAGUGUUGUACCCGUGGAGGACUAGGAGUCAGAGGGCUCAUCCAGCCUAGUGGUCAGCCCCAGUACAAUAGUUGUACAGUUCCUUUAAUAUGCCAUCUUUCCCAGACACAGGCUUAAAUACACUUAUUGAUGAGUGCUGUGCUCAUUUUCAAAUGUGUUUAAUAAUGCCCUCACUUGCCCAGUGGGCAUGAAAUCCUGGGAAUUAUUCAGGUUGAAAUGUAUUAACAUGAAAGGUUGCUAGAUAUAGAAAAGUGUAUGCUUGAAGUCCUGCUGGAAAAGCAGAGGUGGGGAGAUUAUAGGUUUUGAGCCAUCCUGGACUAAAAGCAAGUUCCAAGGCAGUCUGAGUUCAUAGACCCUGCAGAAAAAGAAGAAAGGAAGGAUGGUGGGAA